rnacentral:rRNA from 1 species
UAGUAGGUGAGGUAAUGGCUCACCUAGGCGACGAUACAUAGCCGACCUGAGAGGGUGAUCGGCCACACUGGGACUGAGACACGGCCCAGACUCCUACGGGAGGCAGCAGUAGGGAAUCUUCGGCAAUGGGGGCAACCCUGACCGAGCAACGCCGCGUGAGUGAAGAAGGUUUUCGGAUCGUAAAGCUCUGUUGUAAGUCAAGAACGGGUGUGAGAGUGGAAAGUUCACACUGUGACGGUAGCUUACCAGAAAGGGACGGCUAACUACGUGCCAGCAGCCGCGGUAAUACGUAGGUCCCGAGCGUUGUCCGGAUUUAUUGGGCGUAAAGCGAGCGCAGGCGGUUUGAUAAGUCUGAAGUUAAAGGCUGUGGCUCAACCAUAGUUCGCUUUGGAAACUGUCAAACUUGAGUGCAGAAGGGGAGAGUGGAAUUCCAUGUGUAGCGGUGAAAUGCGUAGAUAUAUGGAGGAACACCGGUGGCGAAAGCGGCUCUCUGGUCUGUAACUGACGCUGAGGCUCGAAAGCGUGGGGAGCGAACAGGAUUAGAUACCCUGGUAGUCCACGCCGUAAACGAUGAGUGCUAGGUGUUGGAUCCUUUCCGGGAUUCAGUGCCGCAGCUAACGCAUUAAGCACUCCGCCUGGGGAGUACGACCGCAAGGUUGAAACUCAAAGGAAUUGACGGGGGCCCGCACAAGCGGUGGAGCAUGUGGUUUAAUUCGAAGCAACGCGAAGAACCUUACCAGGUCUUGACAUCCCGAUGCUAUUUCUAGAGAUAGAAAGUUACUUCGGUACAUCGGUGACAGGUGGU